UUAAAUUGAAGAGUUUGAUCAUGGCUCAGAUUGAACGCUGGCGGCAGGCCUAACACAUGCAAGUCGAACGGCAGCACAGAAGAGCUUUGCUCUUUUGGGGUGGCGAGUGGCGGACGGGGUGAGUAAUGUCUGGGGAAACUGCCCCGAUGGAGGGGGGAUAACUACUGGAAACGGUAGCUAAUACCGCAUAACGUCGCAAGACCAAAAGUGGGGGGACCUUCGGGGCCUCACACCAUCGGGAUGUGCCGAUGGGAUUAGCUAGUAGGUGGGGGUAAUGGCUCACCUAG
rnacentral:rRNA from 1 species